GUGGGGAAUAUUGGACAAUGGGGGGAACCCUGAUCCAGCCAUGCCGCGUGUGUGAAGAAGGCCUUUUGGUUGUAAAGCACUUUAAGCGAGGAGGAGGCUACUUUAGUUAAUACCUAGAGAUAGUGGACGUUACUCGCAGAAUAAGCACCGGCUAACUCUGUGCCAGCAGCCGCGGUAAUACAGAGGGUGCGAGCGUUAAUCGGAUUUACUGGGCGUAAAGCGUGCGUAGGCGGCUUUUUAAGUCGGAUGUGAAAUCCCCGAGCUUAACUUGGGAAUUGCAUUCGAUACUGGUUGGCUAGAGUAUGGGAGAGGAUGGUAGAAUUCCAGGUGUAGCGGUGAAAUGCGUAGAGAUCUGGAGGAAUACCGAUGGCGAAGGCAGCCAUCUGGCCUAAUACUGACACUGAGGUGCGAAAGCAUGGGGAGCAAACAGGAUUAGAUACCCUGGUAGUCC
rnacentral:rRNA from 1 species